UCUGGUAAUGAUGGCAGAGAGGUCACACCCGUUCCCAUACCGAACACGGAAGUUAAGCUCUAUCUCAUACAUGUCUUGCGGAAGUAGUUCAGUGGUAGAAUACAACCUUGCCAAGG
rnacentral:rRNA from 1 species